UGGCAUUUUGCUAGGAAAUUUGCACCCCAUCUGCUGUCACUGUGAAUUUAACUCGUGCCACUGCAGGAAUCAGCAAUAUUGGAGGCGAACAUGCCCAGUAGUGAAAUGGUUGCAUAUCUUCGCGUCAGGUGUUUCCCGAUGGCAGCAGCCAGAAGCGGGUAUUUGAAAGGGAGUACAAGAUGUUGUGGAUGUGAGCAUCCCAGCGCCUUCUGGCAAGACGCACACGAUGGAAGAUCCGACCCCUUACUCAAGAGAGGUGUUUGGCAUUCUCGAAAAUUUAUUGAGGCAGUUCGGCCCUCGGGUCUUUCCCGAGGGCAGCAGCCAGAAGCGGCUAUUUAAAAGGGAGUGAAAGAUGAUGUGCAUCUUAGCGUCCAAGCGCUUUCUGGAAAGACUUACACCAUGGAAGAUCAGAUAUCUGACCCAGGAGUGGUGUCACGCACUCUCGAAAAAUUAUUGAGGAAGUUCGGCCCUCGGGUGUUUCCCGAGGGCAGCAGCCAGAAGCGGGUAUUUGAAAGGGAGUACAAGAUGGUGUGGAUGUGAGCAUCCCAGCGCCUUCUGGCAAGACGCAUACGAUGGAAGAUCCGACCCCUUACUCAAGGGUGGUGUUUCGCAUUCUCGAAAAUUUAUUGAGGCAGUUCGGCCCUCGGGCUUCUGGGAAAGUGCAUUCUGGGACUCCUCAAAGCAGCGCAGCGCCUGAUUGCCGAACUUCAAGAAAGCGAUCAUCUAAGUCACCGACUUAUCUAAAUCACAUUCUGGCGUUUCUUACGCUACAGUCGGUAGACCCUUCUCAGAAACCGACAUUCUGCACAUGGAAACGAGCUUCCUCACAUCUGAUGCCUACGCGAUAUUGUCACCUGGAAAACACAUCAAGCAAUUAAAACUGCAAAAGACAAUUACAUUUAGACUCAUUAAACGUCGCCAAAGCUUUAUAUCAUGUAUAAAAGAACUUUCCUGUACUUACUGGACGUUAUUCAAUCAUGUGCACUGUGUACACAUCUCGUCAGCGUAUCAUAAU